rnacentral:rRNA from 1 species
GACGAACGCUGGCGGCGUGCUUAACACAUGCAAGUCGAACGGAAAGGCCCUGCUUGCAGGGUCCUCGAGUGGCGAACGGGUGAGUAACACGUGGGUGAUCUGCCCUGCACUUCGGGAUAAGCCUGGGAAACUGGGUCUAAUACCGGAUAGGAGCCAUUUUUAGUGUGAUGGUUGGAAAGUUUUUUCGGUGUAGGAUGAGCUCGCGGCCUAUCAGCUUGUUGGUGGGGUAAUGGCCUACCAAGGCGGCGACGGGUAGCCGGCCUGGGAGGGUGGACGGCCACAGUGGGACUGAGAUACGGCCCAGACUCCGACGGGAGGCAGCAGUGGGGAAUAUUGCACAAGGGGCGCAAGCCUGAUGCAGCGACGCCGCUUGGGGGAUGACGGCCUUCGGGUUGUAAACUCCUUUCGCUAGGGACGAAGCUUUUUGUGACGGUACCUAGAUAAGAAGCACCGGCUAACUACGUG